UGGCGGCAGGCCUAACACAUGCAAGUCGAGCGGUAACAUUUCUAGCUUGCUAGAAGAUGACGAGCGGCGGACGGGUGAGUAACGCGUAGAAAUCUACCUAGUAGUGGGGGAUAGCCCAGAGAAAUUUGGAUUAAUACCGCAUACGCCCUACGGGGGAAAGCGGGGGAUCUUCGGACCUCGUGCUAUUAGAUGAGUCUGCGUCGGAUUAGCUUGUUGGUGAGGUAAUGGCUCACCAAGGCGACGAUCCGUAGCUGGUCUGAGAGGAUGACCAGCCACACUGGAACUGUGACACGGUCCAGACUCCUACGGGAGGCAGCAGUGGGGAAUAUUGCACAAUGGGCGCAAGCCUGAUGCAGCCAUGCCGCGUGUGUGAAGAAGGCCUUAGGGUUGUAAAGCACUUUCAGCAGUGAGGAAAGGGGUGUCGUUAAUAGCGCCAUCCUGUGACGUUAACUGCAGAAGAAGGACCGGCUAACUCCGUG
rnacentral:rRNA from 1 species